AGUUUUUACAGUCAAUGGAGUCAUCAGGAUCUGAAUAUCAUUGGCAUUUAACUGUGGAAGGAGAAAGGAUGAGGCUAUCACUGGCUCGGCCAGCAUUUAUUGCUGCGUUUACCCAGAGGGCAGUUAAGAAUCAACCACGUUGCUCUUGGUCUGGAGUCCCAUGCAGACCAGACCAGAGCUAGCUGAAGCACAGAUAAUUAUCCUUGGAGCUGAGAAGGUGAAGCAGUGAUUUUGACCUGGUGCCGAUUUUGUUCCAAUGUCUUGAAUUUGCAAAGAAAGAGAAGAAUUGUUAACC